rnacentral:rRNA from 1 species
AUGCUCGAGAUGGCUGCGGCGAGUGACAGAGACCCUUUUGGAGACCUCCCUGACGAGCUCCUAUCGCGCGUGCUGUCCUUCCUUCCGGCAGAGGAUGCCCUGCAGACCUGUGUGCUCGACACCCGGUGGCGCGACCUCUGGAGGCGCUUCACCAGCUUGCUGUUCAUCUUUGAUGGGCCAACGUUUCCGCGAUACAACCGUUUCAAACAGUUGGUGAAGCUGUUCAUCUGUCUCCGCGGCAACUCGCCUCUCGUCAGGUGUGAGAUCGAUGCCUACCCUGAUGAUGGGCCGGAGAACACGUUCACAAACACCAGGCUGUUGAUUGAUUACGCUCUGGCGUGCGAAGCUGAGGAACUCAUAGUAAGAGCAGCUGACAUUCAGUACGACCUACCAGUGUUCGAUGUGCCCCUUAGUCUCAUCUCCCAACACUUGAAGACCCUGCACCUUGAAGGGGUCAACCUCGACCACUCUGCUUUGAACUUCUCAGGCUGCCUGGUGCUAGAGGACCUAAGGAUUCAACUUUGCAACAUUCGUGCAUGUGAGAUAUCAUCCAUGUCACUAAAGCGCCUGUGCAUCACCGAGUACUGUUUGUUACCGGACAAUGUCCGUCUUCUGAUUUGUGCCCCGAGUCUUAUCUCGUUGCAUCUAGAGGAUUUCGAAGGGUUGACACCUUUCCUCGAAAACAUGCCAUUGCUAGAAACAGCCCAUGCGGUGCUUCUCAAUGGUUUGUCCAAUGCUGUCAAGUUGGACUUGAUUGCUUCACCUCAAAUGUUUCUCUACAGAUGGGAUUUGAAAUGGUGUCCCAUUUUUGGCAAAUUGAAGACUCUGUUACUCAAUGAGUGGUUUACGGCUGUUGGCCUAGUUUGCAUUCUCCGACAUUCUCCAGUCCUUGAGAUACUCACUCUUAAGCUUGACAAUACCGAGGACAUUGUAGGAGCAACAGGAGCCCAGGAAACAAAAACACAAUCAUUUGUUUGUGCAUGCAUUAAGUCCGUUUACGUUGAAUGUGAAGAGGUUGAUGAGGGAGUUCUUGCAGUCUUGAAUAUCUUAAGUACAUGCGGCAUACUUCGUGAUCAAAUUAGCAUCAAGGAGGAUCCACAUACGGACUCAGAUUGCGUCUUCCUCUCCCUGUUCUUCCCCGCGGCUGCCGGUGGCCGGAGCUUCCGCCCGUCCGCGGGUCGUGCUCAGGUGAAGCUGCAAUCUCUUCCCGCAGUCGAGCUCAGCGCCCGCCACCUGUUCGACGGAAAUCACGAGAUGGCUGAUGGCACCGGCGACGAUCCCUUCCGCGCCCUCCACGACGACGUGCUCGAGCACAUCCUGUCCUUCCUGCCAGGGGAUGACGCCCUUCAGACCUGCGUGCUCAACACCCAGUGGCGUGACCUCUGGAGGCGCAAGACCAGCCUGCGCUUCAUCUUUGACGAAUGGUCAGGUUUCAGCUGCGAGCGUUUCAGUCAGCUGGCGAAGCUCAUGAUCCACCUCAGUGGGAAGUCGCCUCUGACCCAUUGCAAGAUCAAUCCUUGCAUUGACGAGGACUAUGAUGAUUUCACACAAACCAAGCUCCUGAUCAAGUACGUACUGAAGUGCUGCGUUGAAAAGCUCUCGGUUUGCGAUGGCCAUUUAGGCGACGAACGGUUACUGCUCGACGGACGUCUCUUCUCCAGGCAGUUGAAGACCAUGAGAUUGUGUCAAGUUGACCUCGUAAAUUCCUCGCUGGAUUUCUCGCACUGCCCAGUAUUAGAGGAGCUAACAUUGGAAGAUUGCCGCAUUGAUGAGCGCAUAUCUUCCAAAUCACUAGAGCAUUUGUGGUUCAUUGGGGAUUGCAGCUUCCCUCAGGAUUUCCGCAUUCAUAUUGAUGCCCUGCGUCUUAUCUCGCUGCAACUAAAUGAAUUUGAUGACAUGACUCCUUCCCUUGGAAAGAUGCUAUUACUGGAAACAGCAUAUGUUAUGCUUGGCCAGUCAUGCAACGAUUCUUGUGAAAGUUACCCGGAGGAUUGCAAUGAUCCUUCCUGUGAAUGUCGUGAUGAAGAGUGCCUGCUUCUCGAUGGAUUGUCCAGUGCUGUUGAUUUGGAAUUGAUUGCUGAUCCUGGAGUGUUUCUUCAGACGGGAUUUGGAACAUUGCCCCAAUUUUGA